rnacentral:rRNA from 1 species
AGAACGAACGCUGGUGGCGUGUUUUAUACAUGCAAGUCGAGCGAGGACGGUAGCAAUACCGAGCCGAGCGGCGAACGGGUGAGUAACGCGUAAGCAAUCUGCCCCACAAUCGGGAACAACCGUGCCAACGCGCGGCUAAUGCCGGAUAUUGUAGUCUACUGCAUAGUAGGCCAACGAAAGAUUUAUUGUUGUGGGAUGAGCUUGCGUCCGAUUAGCUAGUUGGCGGGGUAAUAGCCCACCAAGGCGACGAUCGGUAGCCGGCCUGAGAGGGUGAUCGGCCACAUUGGGACUGAGAUACGGCCCAGACUCCUACGGGAGGCAGCAGUAGGGAAUAUUGCGCGAAUGGGGGGAACCCUGACGCAGCCAACGCCACGUGUGGGAAGAAGCAUUUCGGUGUGUAAACCACUGUCGGAAAGGAAUAACGGAAGACUUCGGUCUUUAUGAAUGUACUUUUAGAGGAAGCACCGGCAAACUUCGUGCCAGCCGCUGC